UCAGGGGCCUCCGGCGCGAGGCCCCCUUUGUGGUCAAGAUGGCGGCGCCCAGGCGGGCCGCGCUGAGGUGAGCUGGAGCCGGGCCCGGAGAGGGGCGAGUCUGCCACGCCCAGGACUUGGACCCCGGGCUGGUCUCCCGUCUCCCGGGGAGCGGCGGGUUGAUGGGCGCUACGGGAUAAGGAAAAGGAUGUGAAGCUCACUGAAGAGGCUUGGGUUGGGAGUGCUGGAGGAGUGUACAGGUGGGGAAAAUGUACCAGUGUGUAUGCCUACUGGGACCACGUUUUCCAGAACAGUUAAGCCCAGUGUCAACUAUGCUGUCCCACCUUCCUCUUCCAGAAAUGACGUCUGCUGAAGGAGAACAUGUUCUAGCAAUGAAAUCUUCAAAAGACUCCUGCCGCUGCUCUGUGACUGCGACCCCCAGCUUGUCUUUGGAAGUUUCUAAGGCCUCCUGAGUAGAGACUGGGACGUGGAAGGAGUCGACAGGCAAAGGAAUCCCAGCAUCACCUGUAAUUUUCUGAAACUGGAGGGAAAGACAAAAGACAAGACAAAAAUUCAGUGAUGAACAAAGCCAACCAUUAAAAAGUAGAGUUCAAAACUUCAGUGUUACUCUGUGAUCUUAUUAUUAACACAGUCAAUUGAUUAUUCAGAAGAUUUCAGAGCCAGUUUUUCUCUAAUUAUAUCCUGCCAAGUGAUUCUCAGCUUAACCUAGCUAUAUCCAAGGCUAUGUCCGCUACAUUUUCAGACUUUGGUGACUGGGGUAGUUAUUACCCAUUUCCUUCCCCUCACUAAAAAUAAAACCCUACUCUGUAAGAAAAUUAAUUUCUUUGCUAUCCUCCAGGCACAUGUAAACAGUAUAUAAUAUAGUUUGUGACCAGACUGUCAGUUCCCAAGACCAGUCAGUUCCUAAGACCAGUCUGAGAUUGGCUGAGCUGGGCGAAGGGGGCUCCAAGUGAGGCUGGAGGAAAAGCUGACAGGUUUCCCCUCCCAUUCCCAUGACCAGAGUUCAAAUGUCCACCAUUCACCUUGGUCUAAGCUUAAGGAACCAUUCAAGGGGAUACAAUGCAGAUGGGAGGGGAAAACAGAACCCUCACACAAGCUGUGCCGUGUUGCAAUCAGGCUUCCAUUUGAAAAAUAAU